GCUGCUCAGAACCUCAGUAAAGUAUGGGUCUUGAUUACAAAGAGAGAUCUAUGGAUCCCAGUUGAUGGGGAGCAGAAACACAGCUCAGAAGGGGAUUGUGGAAAGCUGGUCAGGGCACGUUUGUCCUGUGGGCCAGGAUGUCUUUAGGGGAAUAUGCAGUACAAAGAGGAAUGGGAUCUAGGCUGAGAUCUGGUCUGGUC